UUAUCCAUCUCGUACUUUUUACCAUAAGGUUGCGAGUAUGUUUCUUGAGAAAUACCCACACCUGGCGGACACAAUUGGGGAUGGGUUUAGUUCUUGGAUUGUCUCCCUCCGCAACAAAUUUAAGAAUGAGAUAAGAAAAAUGCAGCACAAUGAACAGGUCAUAGAAAAUAGAAUCAGAUUUGGGAACAGGAAACGUCAAAGCGAUACGGAACAUGCAUCACAAGCUGAGUUCCAAAGGGUGAAGCGUCAGCAUGAAGGUCUGCCCAGUAUUGCUGACCAUGAAGACUGCACAAGCUUACAAAACCAUGAAGAAUGGCUUAAGAGUGAAAUGGACAGAAAUGCUCCUGACGAAGAACUAAUAAAAGUUAGGAUGGCUGCAACCCACAAAGUAAGGUGUGCAGACCUGGCAACAAUGCCUGUAUCGGCUGCUACUGA